GGGAAUAUAGUUUAAAUUGGUAAAACAUAUGUCUUGCACACAUAAAAUCAUCGGUUCGAAUCCGAUUAUUUCCA
rnacentral:tRNA from 2 species